rnacentral:misc_RNA from 1 species
UGGCUCUCGCAUCGAUGAAGAACGCAGCGAAAUGCGAUAAGUAAUGUGAAUUGCAGAAUUCAGUGAAUCAUCGAAUCUUUGAACGCACCUUGCGCUCCUUGGUAUUCCGAGGAGCAUGCCUGUUUGAGUGUCUUGAAAUCAUCAAGCCCCGGAUUCGCGUCCGGAGGCUUGGACUUGGGGGUUCUUUGCUGCCUUUUCGGCGGCUCCCCUUAAAUGCAUCGGUUGCGGUCCGUCCGGCUUCAGUCCUCGGCGUUGUAUUGCCCUCGCCCCGUGUCUUGUCGGCAGCGCCCUUCCCCGACCGCCUUUGGAGCGGCGGUCAAUGUAUUUUGAAAUCUGACCUCAAAUCAGGUAGGACUACCCGCUGA